UUAUUAUUUCAUCAAUUAACUUACCUAAAAAAUCACAGCCGUUGGAUUGAGAUGCCUCUCUUUCCCUCAAAAUAACAGCCUUCGUAUUCUCUCUGCUAUUGUUUUCUCCUACAUCCAGAAUUUUGGAUGAAUGAACUUGGUAUUCAACAAUAUUCACCACCCAUCACAGCAAAGAGCAAAGAUGUAGUCAAAGGAGUGCCAUUUAUUCAGGCUAACUCGAUCUGUCACUCUCGCUUCAAUUCGUCACUCAUUUUCUCGCGCUCAGCUUCAAUCUAUCACUCUCAGCUUCAGUUCGUCACUCACAGCUUCAAUUUUUCACUGUCGUGAAUCAUCUCUCUUGCUGUAUCUCUCUCUUAUGUCUUCCAAUAAUUUCGGUGAGCUCUCUCUCUAAUUUAAUAUAUGAUUAAAAAUCUUAUCAUCUUAUCAUGUCAUUUAAAUAUGCUUGAAGUUUCAAUUUAGUUUAUGAAUAUUACUUGAAAUUUCAGUUUCAAUAAUUUGAUUUUGCAAUUGAGAAAUUAUUACUUGAAAUAUUGAGAUGAUUUCUAGGGAUUGAUAAUUGAAUGAUAAUUGCUAAGGCUUGUCAUUUUUUGUUUUUGAACAGAUAGAGUUACAAUUAAGUCAUACUGCAAUAUUUUAUCUUGAGAUUCUAUUAUUCACAAAAAGAAAAAAAUCAUAAAUUGAAAAAAAAAAAAAAGAGGUUACGAGCAUCAAGCAACUGCAAGUAAUGGGGUUUGUUUUGAUGAGCUGCGAAUUGGGGCCUGUCAUUUUCUUGAAGUAUCUUCAAUAUAAGUGGAAGGAGAUUUCUUCUCUCCAAAAAAUUAUUGUAUAUUUCCUUUUAAAUUCUAGAUUCGCAUGUAGCUGAUUUUUUAUGUUUGAAGGAUUUUAUUAAAGAAUGUGCUGCUGCUAGUGGCAUGAAUUAAUGUAGUCUCGCUAGUAUUCGUGAUUUGGGGUAAGGAUCGAAUUGAACAAUUAUAUUUCUAUUAUUCUUAUAUUCGAAUCCAGUGAUAUUGUGGUGGUUUUAUGAUAAUAUUCAAUUGUUUUGUGCCUCAAAUCAGCCAAUGAGUUGGGUAUGUGCUGGGUAUAUGCCGUAUGGGCUUGUUGUUGAAUUUGCUUGACCUUGGAUGUGAUUCUUGCCGUGUUUAUAAGAAAUAGACACAGGUCUUUGUGUGGUAAUAGAAUUGUCUAAGGUGCCUUACAAUAAAUUUAAGAGUCUUAAGUAACUAUGCUUUGUAACCUUAAACCUUUAUUUGUACGACUUGGUGUUCUUGGUUGUGAAAGAAUGUUAAAUGUUGACCUAUUUUCAUCGGUGAAGAUAAAUGAAGUUAGGGAAGGUUUGUAAUCACUAUAACCCUGACAAUUUUUUUGGUGGGCCGUGAUAAUUUUAUUCAUGGCAUGUACUUUGUUUUUAUCAGAAGGCCCUGUUUGCUUGUAGUCUCAAAUCUAGGGUAAUAUUUUAAAUAAGUUCUGCAAUAUAUGUUUUGCUAUUUUUCUUUUUUGUUUUUAUUUUAAUUAGUUUUAGUAUUACUUGGAGGGGAAUUCUGAUCUGCUGAAGUUUAUCAAGCUGGUGCAGUGGUGCAGCAAGCAGACCUUUAUCUUAAUCUUAUGAUUGUGCUAAGUGGAAUUUUGUGUAAGUUACAACAAUAUAAUUUUUUAAAGAGCUGACAAGACGCUCUCUCUUUUUUUUGGAAUGUUGAGCAAAACUUUUCUUUCUUAUUAGGUGUUUAUAAUAAUUCAUAGCAUGGGUUUUGUCAUAUUGGUUUCAAUGCAUUGAUUUGAUCUUGGUUACAACCCAUCAGCCCUUACUCCUCAUUCCCAGCAGCUUUUAAUGCCUUUUUUUUAAGCAUUGUACUUUGUUUCAUGAUGAAAUUUGUUUAUAUGACGCAAAGUUGAGGACACGGUAAUAGUCAUUAUUUUAAUUUAUGCAACAAAGAUCAUUAUCCAUUAAAUUUUAUGUUGUUGAAAUAUUUAGAUUUUGUAAAUUUUGUUGUAAGAAAUGAGGGCUCUUGAUCCCAUCCCUUUAUUAUAUACAAUUUUUUUUCACUCUGUCAUUCAUUUAUUGUGUGUUAGAGGUAUUAGUCAUGUGCAAAAGUAAAGAUCUUUAUUUUGUUAUUUUUGUCAUCUUGUGCUUCAUUGGUAUAAAUGAGGAAAAAAAAGAAUAAAAUAAAAUAAAAUUAUAGUUUGUGCAUGAAUUCCACCAUAUAUGAAAUGUUUAAUAGAUUAAAAAGUAAGGAGUACACAGUGACUUUGAAUAGCAGGUGGGGGAACUCAUUUUGUUUUAAAAAAAAUUAAUACAUAUUGAUAGAAUAAUUAUCCUUCACUUAAUUAUUUAAAAAUUUUAUUUUGGAAGAAUACAAAUGGACAGUCACCAAUGAAAGCGUAAACGACUACCAGGGGGCUUACAGAAAAAAUUGCUCCUAUUCUAAAAGUAGAUGGUCAGGACAAAGUUCCAACAACUUCAACUUAUGGAUUUGUCUCUUACUUGUAAGGUAAUCUCUUCUUGUAGGGUGUUUAAUUGAAUUAAAAACAGAAUAUUAUUUGCAUUAUAGAGUACAGGCAUAAAUUCAUUAUCUAUGUCAGUUCAUUCAUGAUUUUACUCCAAAUGGAGUAAUAGAUCACCAUUAAUUUAUUGAUACAUCGUCCAUGUUUGUUUUCGUCUUCAAUUUUUAUAUUACAAUAUCUAAUCUAUUUAGUAUUCGUAAAAAAACAUACGAGAAAAAGUUGGAAAAACACUUUAGGGGUGAUUGUGUACACUUUCGUAUGGCACAAAUAGCGUUAGGCUUUGUUUUUUAAGUGGACGACGUGUCCAUUUUUUGUGUUACAUCUUACUCAUUAAUAUAUUUUUGAGUUUCUUAUGGAAAAAAAAUUGAAAAAACACUUUAAGUGAAAAAAAUUUGUAUUUCAAUUUAUAUGUAACAGUGAAUUGGAAAAUAAAUUCUACCAAUAAUUAAAAGAAUACUUUUCUUUUAAUUAUUAAAAAGAUAAGGUAGUUACUCAUUACCCAUAUAAAUGGACAGUUUUAAUUUGUUCCAUAUCUAUACAACAGAAGAGCUUCAGACACGGUUUGCAGCGUUCCACGAUCACUUCCAUUCUAAGCAGCAGCGUCUUCCGUCUUUUUGCACACCAACAGCAGAUUCUAGAUGGCCAGAAGCUCAUCUGCCGCACUCUCGGGAUUUCGCUGCCAUCCUCAUCUUCAUCUCCACUACCUCCUCAGUGAUUAUCCCCUGGUUUUAUGCUCAGAAAUUAUGAUUAUUAUGUAUCUUGUUUUCAGAUUUGUCAAUACUUGUUAUAUUUUGAUUAUGCAUUAUGGACAUUUUUCAUAAGAUAGCUUAAUUUUGUGGUUUGUGUUGACGAUUUCCAUGUAUGGAUGUUUGGAUAGGUAAUUUCGCCUUCCAUGCAUUCUUCAUUCCUGCAUCCUGUGGGAGAAAAUUGGAAAAAGUGGUUUUUGAUGAGAAACGGGGAGAAGGAUGAGAUAUAUAUUUUUGAAGUGUCACAUUAUUUCAAAAACAAACCCCAAAUUUAAUUUCUCUUACCGAUCAUGAGUUAAAAUAUAAAAAUUAACGUUUACUCAUCACACUGUUAUAAGUAUCAAAGCAUUACUUAUAGAAAAAUUAUCGUCACCUAUCCUACAUUUGUGAUUGAAUAGUGGCACAAUUUUAAUUGGGAUAUUUAACAUUACUCUUUGUAAUUGUUUGGUCUUAUUUGAAGUUUGUAAAUUUUUCAUAACUAUGACUUCAACAGCAUAUUUCAGGUUGCAUUUAAU
rnacentral:lncRNA from 1 species